rnacentral:rRNA from 1 species
CAGCAGCCGCGGUAAUUCGGAGGGGGCGAGCGUUGUCCGAAUUUAUUGGGCGUAAAGCGCGUGUAGGCGGAGAUCCAAGCCCGGGGUGAAAGGUUGGGGCUCAACCCCAACAGUGCCCUGGGGACUGGAUCUCUGGAGGCAGGCAGAGGAGCGUGGAAUUCCUGGUGUAGCGGUGGAAUGCGUAGAGAUCAGGAAGAACACCCGUGGCGAAGGCGGCGCUCUGGGCCUGUACUGACGCUGAGACGCGAAAGCGUGGGGAGCGAACGGGAUUAGAUACCCCGGUAGUCCACGCCGUAAACGAUGGAUGCUCGGUGUCGGGGGUAUCGACCCCCUCGGCGCCCAAGGUAACCCGGUAAGCAUCCCGCCUGGGGAGUACGGCCGCAAGGUUGAAACUCAAAGGAAUUGACGGGGGCCCGCACAAGCGGUGGAGCAUGUUGUUUAAUACGUCACUAACCGUAGAACCUUACCAGGUCUUGACAUCUACCGAACCCGCCGGAAACGGUGGGGUGCCCGC